rnacentral:rRNA from 1 species
UAUGGUCAAGUGAAGAAGCGCAUACGGUGGAUGCCUUGGCAGUCAGAGGCGAUGAAAGACGUGGUAGCCUGCGAAAAGCUUCGGGGAGUCGGCAAACAGACUUUGAUCCGGAGAUGUCUGAAUGGGGGAACCCAGCCAUCAUAAGAUGGUUAUCUUGUACUGAAUACAUAGGUGCAAGAGGCGAACCAGGGGAACUGAAACAUCUAAGUACCCUGAGGAAAAGAAAUCAACCGAGAUUCCCUUAGUAGUGGCGAGCGAACGGGGACUAGCCCUUAAGUGGCUUUGAGAUUAGCGGAACGCUCUGGAAAGUGCGGCCAUAGUGGGUGAUAGCCCUGUACGCGAAAAUCUCUUAGUCAUGAAAUCGAGUAGGACGGGGCACGAGAAACCUUGUCUGAAUAUGGGGGGACCAUCCUCCAAGGCUAAAUACUACUGACUGACCGAUAGUGAACUAGUACCGUGAGGGAAAGGCGAAAAGAACCCCGGAGAGGGGAGUGAAAUAGAUCCUGAAACCGUAUGCGUACAAGCAGUGGGAGCCCACUUGUUGGGUGACUGCGUACCUUUUGUAUAAUGGGUCAGCGACUUAUUUUCAGUGGCGAGCUUAACCGAAUAGGGGAGGCGUAGCGAAAGCGAGUCUUAAUAGGGCGUCUAGUCGCUGGGAAUAGACCCGAAACCGGGCGAUCUAUCCAUGGGCAGGUUGAAGGUUGGGUAACACUAACUGGAGGACCGAACCGACUACCGUUGAAAAGUUAGCGGAUGACCUGUGGAUCGGAGUGAAAGGCUAAUCAAGCUCGGAGAUAGCUGGUUCUCCUCGAAAGCUAUUUAGGUAGCGCCUCAUGUAUCACUGUAGGGGGUAGAGCACUGUUUCGGCUAGGGGGUCAUCCCGACUUACCAAACCGAUGCAAACUCCGAAUACCUACAAGUGCCGAGCAUGGGAGACACACGGCGGGUGCUAACGUCCGUCGUGAAAAGGGAAACAACCCAGACCGUCAGCUAAGGUCCCAAAGUCAUGGUUAAGUGGGAAACGAUGUGGGAAGGCUUAGACAGCUAGGAGGUUGGCUUAGAAGCAGCCACCCUUUAAAGAAAGCGUAAUAGCUCACUAGUCGAGUCGGCCUGCGCGGAAGAUGUAACGGGGCUCAAACCAUGCACCGAAGCUACGGGUAUCACUUAGGUGAUGCGGUAGAGGAGCGUUCUGUAAGCCUGUGAAGGUGAGUUGAGAAGCUUGCUGGAGGUAUCAGAAGUGCGAAUGCUGACAUGAGUAACGACAAUGGGUGUGAAAAACACCCACGCCGAAAGACCAAGGUUUCCUGCGCAACGUUAAUCGACGCAGGGUUAGUCGGUCCCUAAGGCGAGGCUGAAAAGCGUAGUCGAUGGAAAACAGGUUAAUAUUCCUGUACUUCUGGUUAUUGCGAUGGAGGGACGGAGAAGGCUAGGCCAGCUUGGCGUUGGUUGUCCAAGUUUAAGGUGGUAGGCUGAGAUCUUAGGUAAAUCCGGGAUCUUAAGGCCGAGAGCUGAUGACGAGUUGCCAUUAGGCGACGAAGUGGUUGAUGCCAUGCUUCCAAGAAAAGCUUCUAAGCUUCAGGUAACCAGGAACCGUACCCCAAACCGACACAGGUGGUUGGGUAGAGAAUACCAAGGCGCUUGAGAGAACUCGGGUGAAGGAACUAGGCAAAAUGGCACCGUAACUUCGGGAGAAGGUGCGCCGGUGAGGGUGAAGGACUUGCUCCGUAAGCCCAUGCCGGUCGAAGAUACCAGGCCGCUGCGACUGUUUAUUAAAAACACAGCACUCUGCAAACACGAAAGUGGACGUAUAGGGUGUGACGCCUGCCCGGUGCCGGAAGGUUAAUUGAUGGGGUUAGCUAACGCGAAGCUCUUGAUCGAAGCCCCGGUAAACGGCGGCCGUAACUAUAACGGUCCUAAGGUAGCGAAAUUCCUUGUCGGGUAAGUUCCGACCUGCACGAAUGGCGUAACGAUGGCGGCGCUGUCUCCACCCGAGACUCAGUGAAAUUGAAAUCGCUGUGAAGAUGCAGUGUAUCCGCGGCUAGACGGAAAGACCCCGUGAACCUUUACUAUAGCUUUGCACUGGACUUUGAAUUUGCUUGUGUAGGAUAGGUGGGAGGCUUUGAAGCGUGGACGCCAGUUCGCGUGGAGCCAACCUUGAAAUACCACCCUGGCAACUUUGAGGUUCUAACUCAGGUCCGUUAUCCGGAUCGAGGACAGUGUAUGGUGGGUAGUUUGACUGGGGCGGUCUCCUCCUAAAGAGUAACGGAGGAGUACGAAGGUGCGCUCAGACCGGUCGGAAAUCGGUCGUAGAGUAUAAAGGCAAAAGCGCGCUUGACUGCGAGACAGACACGUCGAGCAGGUACGAAAGUAGGUCUUAGUGAUCCGGUGGUUCUGUAUGGAAGGGCCAUCGCUCAACGGAUAAAAGGUACUCCGGGGAUAACAGGCUGAUACCGCCCAAGAGUUCAUAUCGACGGCGGUGUUUGGCACCUCGAUGUCGGCUCAUCACAUCCUGGGGCUGAAGCCGGUCCCAAGGGUAUGGCUGUUCGCCAUUUAAAGUGGUACGCGAGCUGGGUUUAGAACGUCGUGAGACAGUUCGGUCCCUAUCUGCCGUGGACGUUUGAGAUUUGAGAGGGGCUGCUCCUAGUACGAGAGGACCGGAGUGGACGAACCUCUGGUGUUCCGGUUGUCACGCCAGUGGCAUUGCCGGGUAGCUAUGUUCGGGAAAGAUAACCGCUGAAAGCAUCUAAGCGGGAAACUUGCCUCAAGAUGAGAUCUCACUGGAACCUUGAGUUCCCUGAAGGGCCGUCGAAGACUACGACGUUGAUAGGUUGGGUGUGUAAGCGCUGUGAGGCGUUGAGCUAACCAAUACUAAUUGCCCGUGAGGCUUGACCAUA